CGCCACAAACCCGUAGAUCCGAACUUGUGUUGUCUGGCCACACAAGCUUGUGUCUAUAGGUAUGUGUCUG
rfam:Salmo salar isolate Sally breed double haploid chromosome ssa10, whole genome shotgun sequence.